AACGGGUGAGUAAUGUAUCGGAACGUGCCCAGUCGUGGGGGAUAACUGCUCGAAAGAGCAGCUAAUACCGCAUACGACCUGAGGGUGAAAGCGGGGGAUCGCAAGACCUCGCGCGAUUGGAGCGGCCGAUAUCAGAUUAGGUAGUUGGUGAGGUAAAGGCUCACCAAGCCGACGAUCUGUAGCUGGUCUGAGAGGACGACCAGCCACACUGGGACUGAGACACGGCCCAGACUCCUACGGGAGGCAGCAGUGGGGAAUUUUGGACAAUGGGCGCAAGCCUGAUCCAGCCAUGCCGCGUGCGGGAAGAAGGCCUUCGGGUUGUAAACCGCUUUUGUCAGGGAAGAAAAGGUUCUGGCUAAUACCUGGGACUCAUGACGGUACCUGAAGAAUAAGCACCGGCUAACUACGUGCCAGCAGCCGCGGUAAUACGUAGGGUGCAAGCGUUAAUCGGAAUUACUGGGCGUAAAGCGUGCGCAGGCGGUUAUGCAAGACAGAGGUGAAAUCCCCGGGCUCAACCUGGGAACUGCCUUUGUGACUGCAUGGCUAGAGUACGGUAGAGGGGGAUGGAAUUCCGCGUGUAGCAGUGAAAUGCGUAGAUAUGCGGAGGAACACCGAUGGCGAA
rnacentral:rRNA from 1 species